UCUCAGCUCUGGAUGGGAACUGCAAUGUUUUUUGAGCUGCUGACUGCAGGAAGGGUUGAAUGUUUCUGUCCGUGGUGAAACUUGCUCAACACAGAUGAAAAGUUUGCAUCUUGAAGAGUCUUUUUCCUUCCUUCCUGAGGAAAAGACCUUCAAAGUGGGAAUUAUCCUUGUGUCCUAUUAGCCGCCAAGUAGUUCCUUUCCUUUGGAGUUCAGUAGCCAUGGGGCCAUCAAAAAGAGAAGAGGGGGAGCAGAGUAUAAUCCUGAUCAGCGAUGAUGAAGCUGAGGGCACGCUUGGGAAUUCAGUUCUGUUAGUUGACCCAUUGGAGAAGUCUGCCCUGGAAGAGGAGAAAUUGGAAGAAGUUGUGGAUGAGGAAUGUGAACUAAUGGUUACUUUCUGUAAACAAGCAAAAGUGAUGCCUCAUGCAAGAUAUGACUGUACAAUACACCCAUUCGAGCGAAUGGAAUGUGAUACGUGCUCACCCCUUGGGAAAAAUGCUGAUAUCUGUAAUCAGUGCUACUGCUACAUUUGUGAUAAACUAGCUUCUGAGUGCCAGAAUUGGACAACCCCUUCCCUCUGUCACUGCAAUGCACACAACAAAAGCAAGUUCUGGAAGGACCAGCGAGACUUUGCCUUGGCUGGUGUUCUUGUAAUGUUCAAUUUGGAGCUCACAGAUAUAGACGCAGACCUUCGGCAUGGUGGAAGUCUUCUAAUAAAAUUUAUCCAGGAACUUUCUGUGGAAUAUAAUAAGUACCUGGUUGGAGAAAGAAUGCCUCCCAGAGAACAUGAAUGCUUUUGCCUCCCAAAAUUGCCUCCUGGACAAUGCAAUAUCUGCAGGUCACGCAACAUGGAGGUUGUAUACAAGUAUUCUGGAGUUUUUGCGCUGGUAACAAGAUUUUUAAAUGAGGCAGAAAGAGAGAGCCCUAAAGCUGCUGCUGUCAUGUUUCUGGGAGCAGCUAAGGAGAUAGCACUUCAUAAAGACCCGGCUUUAAGCUGGCAGAACCUUGGUCAUACUGCUUCACUGAAGAUUGCUGUCCCUUGUCUGUUACAAAGGAUCACAACACAACUUCAGAAGAUGCUGGUGUUGUGUGACUUUCCAAAAAAUCUGUAUGAAAAAUUUGUUAAUUUUUUUCAGUCCAUCUCACUUCCCUGUCACUGUUUUGGCUUCUCAAAUAGCUUGAAUGUUGUGCCAUGGGACCAUGUAUUACUGACCACUGUUUUGAAAGGCCAAAACAUUACUGGUCAAAGAACACAGAAAGGAAGAAAAGUAUUUCUGUGGGAAACACUCCCUGUUAUAGAGGCUCGAGUGGAGAGAUUGGUAGACAAAAUGAACUAUAAAGAAGUUGUUCGCUACCUGAGAGCUGUGAAAUGCAAUGAUACCAAAGGGUUAAGAGACCUUCGAGAUAAAAUCCCAUUCUACUUGUGCAAAACUGGAGACUUCCUCGAAGCUGCGCAUUCGCUGCUGUUUCCAGUCAGUAGCCUCGCCUGCUGCACUGCCUGCCGGCUGACGCCUUUUCAGUUUGAGGUCUACCUGAAGAUGUUCAGAACAGGCAGCAUCCCCACUGGAAAGGACAUGCUAGACUCUGGGCCCUGGAUUACAGUUGGGUCUCCCUUGAAAGAUGGUGUUCUAAUUAAGCAGGCGCUCAAACUCCUUUACAGCAAUGUGUCGCUAUACAGAAAUCCCAAAUGCUGGAGUUCCCUCAUCAUGAUUUUGGGUAGUAGCAGUUUGCUGGAAAAAAGUGGGCACCUACAUCCCCUAUCCCUGAAAGAGCCACCGCUUGACUUCCAAAAGGGAGUGCUUGCUGCCAGUGGCAGCCUUUUGGAGGAAUUGAAGGCAAAAAUUAAUGUUUCUUUACCACCUGUUAUUUUCUCUCCUCAUUUGCACCAUGAGGCCUGUCUGAUUCUCGCAGUGCAAGCAGUACAACAGAUGCUUUUUUGUGAUCUUCCAUACUUGACUUCCUUCUUAGAGAUAGCCCUGGCUUUUGGGAAUAACUUUUGGGCCCUGAGGCUGUUACUGGACCAUCUUUCCUAUGAAGAACAUGUUCUCCAUGGCACUGUCAACCUGAUUUUGAGAGAUCUAAAUCGUCAGAAAGGAACAAUGCUAAAACUGUGGCAAAACCUUGGUCCCCAGUAUGUGGGUGAAUUCCUUUGCCUGUUCCUGACAUGCAGACAUAAGAAGAUGCAAUCCAUUGGCCUGCUCACUCUGAAUAUUAUUACAGAGAACCUGCAUAUGUGUCCAUGGGCAAAGCAUCUUUGCAACUUCUUCCACAAUGCAGGAUUAAGGCACCUGCCCCUUGGCACUACAGCUCAUCAUGAAGUCUCGAAGUUCAUGAACAUUUUUGAGAAACUGUAACUUGGCAAAACCUUCAGGAUGAUUUUCCAGUUUGUCUUAAUCUGAGAAAUCUCUUCCUGGAGUCCCCUGUGUUCUGCUUUGGUUGUUGUCUCUAAAAAUACUCAGCUAAACACCGAUGUCAGAAAAACCCAAACAUGAAAUCCUAGGUUAAGAUGGUGAACAGCGGCUGAAUUUCAGCAGGCGUGUUUUGGAAAUUCCCUUUCUUGCAGGCCCACGGAUUAAGCGGUUGUUUGAAGAGUUGCUGUACCUUUAUCUCAUGCUGUGCAAGUUCAGCCAGGACAAGCAGAGGUCAGAGAAGUCCCCUGAUAACUGGGAAUCUGCUUCUGCUGAUGCUGACUGUUGCAGAAGGUCCCUGUUCCUGUUACAGCUGAGGGGGGAAAAAAAGAGGGGCAAGGAGGCUGCAAACGCUAAUCUUGGCCACAACUAAUAAUUAAGAACAAACACACAACCCCCUCUGCCUAGUGCUGCUGGUAAACCAGCUCUGCUCCGGGGAGGAACAGCGAUGCCACGCUUGGAUGCUGAGGCUGAGAUCUGGCUGCAGCUCAACAGGGAAGGUGAAGCUUUACUGUCUCACAGAUGUGGGCAAUAAAGUGUUGGUGAGCAAGUUCAUGGCCCCAGGGCCACCCCCAAACCCACUGCCCCUGCCUGCUGUACCCUUCCCCACCUCCUCGGCUGAGGGGGCUGGCAGUGUGCUGAUGCUGUUUUGACCGAGGACACUAAUUAACCUGCUAAAUGAGUUCAUCCCUUCGGAGUGCACACUGGAGAACUGAGUUAUCUAAAAUACCAUCCCCAAGAGCCAUAAUUAGCAUCCCAGGGACGCCUUUGCAAGGUGGUGGGGGCUGUGGGCUUGCUGCUGGUGCACCCUCGGGUGCCAUCCCUGGGUGCAGGGCUGUGGCUGGGGCACACAGCAUCCCCUUCCCUGCCCAUGGGCCAGCUCCUGCAUGGGGAAGGAGCUCCUCUUCCCCUGCUCUUGGAGCUAAAUAACUCGGGGACAGCAAUAAUGAAGGGGACACAAGUCACUGCAGAGCUACCCAGGACAAAAAGGAGUUGCACUCUUUCAGCUGCCUGCACAACCAAAAAUACUCCCUUUUAAUAAUGGGACUAAGUGAAGUAAAAAAAUCAGCUCGUUGCAGGCUGCCAGAUUAACAGAUGGCUACAAUCAUUAAUAUUGCAAAACUUCAGGAGUUCAUAAUUCUUUAAUCUACAAAGCCUGUGGGGGUACCUAAUGCCAGCCCUGCAAUCUGCCAUGCUGGGGGCUGCUGCCCACCCCUGCCCAGUCCCUCCCAGACCCCCCAAGGGUUGGGCAGGCAGUGCCUGCUCCUGCCUGCAGCAGGGGAGCAGGAGCCAUGAGCUUGAUGAACACACACACCCCCCACCCCAGACUUAGGGCUGGUGUUGACAGUGGCUUCUAAAUUCACUGGGAGCACCCCUGUGGCUCUGCUGGCCCCACUCAGCCCUCACUGCUGUCAGAUUGCAGAAAAUCCACGGAAAUCCAAUAACCCAUCUCCAGUGUCAUUUUAUCGUUAAACCCAAGCCUUUCCCAUAAUUGUUUGGAGGCAGCGCAGGGGGAUUACGAUUGAUGUCAACAGCCAGAUAAUCUGGCGUUCAGCCUUCAGUAUCGCUGACCUCCUUAAUAAGGCGCUGGUGGUGUUGGGAGCAUGGGGAGUGUGCCCUGAGCCGCAGCUGCCCCAGAGGAGCCCC